CGGUCGUACGUAUAUAUGCCCUCGUGCGUGCGCGUGACUGGAAUUUCAGUUCGCUGCUGGGUAGAUACAAUCAUACAAAGAUCGAUCUCGUGAUGACACUUACGAGAGAGGAGGCGCACGAGAGCAAGGAGAUGGAGAGCCUCCGGGUGCACGCCGACGCGCUCCUCUCGCUCUCCUCACCCGCCGCGUCGUCCACGGCGACGACCGCGGCGGGCAGCAAGCCGGN
rnacentral:lncRNA from 1 species